rnacentral:rRNA from 1 species
UGGGGAAUAUUGCACAAUGGGCGAAAGCCUGAUGCAGCAACGCCGCGUGAGUGAUGAAGGUCUUCGGAUUGUAAAGCUCUGUCUUUUGGGACGAUAAUGACGGUACCAAAGGAGGAAGCCACGGCUAACUACGUGCCAGCAGCCGCGGUAAUACGUAGGUGGCGAGCGUUGUCCGGAUUUACUGGGCGUAAAGGGUGCGUAGGCGGAUGUUUAAGUGAGAUGUGAAAUACCCGGGCUUAACUUGGGUGCUGCAUUUCAAACUGGAUAUCUAGAGUGCAGGAGAGGAGAAUGGAAUUCCUAGUGUAGCGGUGAAAUGCGUAGAGAUUAGGAAGAACACCAGUGGCGAAGGCGAUUCUCUGGACUGUAACUGACGCUGAGGCACGAAAGCGUGGGUAGCAAACAGGAUUAGAUACCCUGGUAGUCCACGCCGUAAACGAUGAGUACUAGGUGUAGGAGGUAUCGACCCCUUCUGUGCCGCAGUAAACACAUUAAGUACUCCGCCUGGGAAGUACGAUCGCAAGAUUAAAACUCUAAAGUGAAUUG